rnacentral:rRNA from 1 species
GAUGAACGCUAGCUACAGGCUUAACACAUGCAAGUCGAGGGGAAACGGUGAGACUGCUUGCUCUCUUAGACGUCGACCGGCGCACGUGUGAGUAACGCGUAUCCACCCUGCCUCUGACCAAGGGAUAACCCGCCGAAAGUCGUACUACUACCCUAUGCAGACUUCGUAAGUAAUCUGAUAACGGCGAAAGUGCUCAUCGGCGAGAGAUGGGGUGGCGUUUGUUUAGCGUGUUGGCGGGGUAACGUCACACCAAGGCGACGAUCAGUAGGGGUUCUGAGAGGGAGGUCACCGAGAUUGGAACUGGGCCACGGUCCAAACUGCUACGGGAAGCAGCAGUGAGGAAUAUUGGGAAAGGAGCGUAAGCCUGAAACAGCCAAGUAGCGUGGAGGAUGACGGCACUGUGGGUUGUAGUCUGAUGUUAUGCGGGGAUAAGGUGAUGGACGUGUCCUUCAUUGCAGGUACCGUAUGAAUAAGGACCGGCUAAUUCCGUG